rnacentral:lncRNA from 1 species
CAGUCAUUGUCUUAAUUAACUCAGGGAGUUUUUGGUUAUAGCUCCAAAACCUGAGUCUUCCGGCUUCAUGUUGCCCUAACCAGCAGUGUGACCUUCAGUGGGCCACUUAACCAGUUUAGGCCUCAAGGUUGGGAGUGAUGGGUGUGGAGGGGCAGGUUUACCCCUUCAAGGUUUUAUGUUCAAUGCAUCUGUUAUUCAAGUUUAUGGACAGGUUUCAACAGAGAAGCUUAGCAGCUUUUCUAUUAUUAAGACGUGGAUAUUUUUACUCAAGAGCACUCAACUUUUUUUGCAGUGUGUUAAUAUUGUAGAACACUUUGAAACCCAGCAUAGAAAAUGAAUGCACUGUCAAGGCUCACAUACAGUCUUUCAACUAUUUUGUUUGGGCUUUUAGUAUUUUUUUUUUAAUUUUGUAGUAAAAAAUUGCAGUUAAGACAUUCAAAUAUAUAUUUUUGAUUGAAAAGAAACUUACGCCAAUUAGCAUUUAUUUCAGUGAGGCAUGGAUCUCUAAAACGUGCGAUUUACACAUCUUCCCAUUGAUAUAGGCAUUAUUGUCUUGGAUACGUGGGAAUGUCUUUCAAGCUGUGAUUUCUCCUCUAUUUACACUAUCUUUUGUCGGGGGAAAUAGACUCAACAGUGUUUAGAUUAUCUCUGGACAUUUAAAAUUUCUCGCAAAGCCUACGUGUAAUGGUUGGCAUCUCAGAGAAUAAACAGGAAAUUAGCAAGGCAGAGGCUUUCCUUCAUCUUUUGCCAGGGCUGGACUCCUUGCUUCAUUUAUUUUCCUAGGACACCAGAAAUCUGAGAAUGGUAUUUAAGCUGACCGCGUUUCUUUUAUAGCUGGUCUGCAUGUGGUAAUCUACAGAUUGCCAGAUCUUUCUACUUUUCUCCAAAUUAGUAUAUUGGCAUUUGAAGGACCACGUUUACUUUUCAUCAAUGAAUGGUUUAAAGUUGAGCAGUGUGGCACUUCCAUCAUCCUAAAACAUUGCGUUUUUUUUCCCCCAAAUGAUGAAAGUAAUCCAUGUGUGUUGUAGAAAAUUUGGAAAAUUAUUGUAAUCUGAAAUCCCACAACCCACAGAUCACCACUUUUGGCAUUUUAGGGUCAUUCUCUGUGGAUCUACCGGUAUUCAUCAAGUAAUCAGUCAUUUUAUGUUAAACAAACUGUUUCCAAGGGGCGGCUAGUAUGUGUUCUGAAAAAAACAAACAAAGCUUUCCAUGGUCACAUAUGUUUGGUAAAUGCUAGGUUGAGUAAUGGUGGACUUAGCUUUGUGACAGACACCCUGCUCAGGGCUGGACCUCCUGAGGACUCUCCUUCAUGUGGGAGGAACGUUGCUCGCAGUCCUGGAAACAGUGGACACUGACCCGCUUUGGCAUCACACUGCCUAACAUUCCACAGGAGUGUCUGCAGAGGGCAAUGUGGAUUACCUUUUGUUUGUGUUUUGUAACAGUUGAGAUCUCAUGCUUCUGUAACCUGCUUUUUCACACACUUGUAUUAUGAACACUUUGCACUUUAAAAAAUAUUUUCCCAAUGAUUGCUUUCCCUCCUUGUUAUUUUUCAAAACGUUCCAUUUAUAAAGGUUCUGUUUCUAAAGCUGGGGCCUAACCCAGUGACAGGUCUUUUCAGCCUUUGCUGAUGGUCUUGAAAGGUUCUGAGGUAUAAAAUGUUUAUGCUCAUUUUGUUUCUGCCUUCCACCCACCCGCUCCGACAAACCUUUAAUUCUGGACUGCUGCUUUUGAAGCUUGUGGAUUCACAGUGCCCAAAACCACAGGUAACUUUGCUUUGGAAAGGCCUGACAAAAAUAGGCUGCUUUUAAUGCAAAUGGCCAAUUUUCUCCUGUUGGUGGGCAGUUCAUGUAAGAAUAGUGUUUUAUUUAUUGUAUUGUAAAAAUAGCCUCCUUGAGAAGAGUGGCCUGCUCCAGGUAACUCUCACAGAUUGGGUUUUCUUCCACCCAGAAAUGAUUACUUUGAUCUAGAAUAGUGUAUUGCUUUCUCAGAGUAUUUUUUUCACUAUGAAAUGGAAAUGUGUAUUUAAUGUUUCUUAAAGCCCUCUAAUGGCAAGUAUUACCAGAACUUUCCUUCAUGGUUGAUUAUCUAAAAUAUUUUUCUUCAGUUAAAGGCAGACAUGUAUUUGCCCCAAAUUUAGACCAAAUUAAAAAUGGGUCUUUAUUUAAAUAUUCGCUUCACCCGUUCUUUAUUUCCUUUGUCACAAAAAUAUCCUUGAAUCUGAGCAUUUAACAACUCUGACCAUUUUUCGUUGUCUAGUUGAAAGUGUUAAGAAUCUGAGGAGAAAUGUAUUUAUCUUUUAAAAUGUAUUUGUCUUAUGAACAAGGGUUUGCCUAAGUUUUGGAGACCUGUGGAAACAAACGCCUUACCCUUUAUUAGUCGUCUCUGCCUAACUGAUCCACAUCUGCUCCUCCGGCAUACACGGUGCGCAUUUUAAAUAUUAUAAACUACGUUGUAAAGUCCUUUCUUUUAUAAAGCUUAUCUGGGCCAGGCCUGGAACACGGUCAUGGACUGUUCUCCUGUGUGGUUCCUGGGCCAGUGCGUUGCUUUUAAAGACUGGAGCUGAAAAGCAGAACGUGUACUUUUGGCAUGGGGAUUCCUUAUAGAGAGUAUGCAAAUUUCCCCAAGGAAAACGGAAUUUGCAUGAAAAAGCUCUCACUAUAAUUAUAACAAUUUCCUCCUCCUUUUUCCUUUUUUUUUUUUUUAAAUUCAGCUUCUCAACGUGCUAAGAUUUUUCCCUUUCCUCCAAGACAGGCCUGCUGAAGGAAUUGACUUCUGAAAGAUCUUAUGCCAGCUCUCUAAAGUAUCUAAAAGGAGACAUCAUAAGGUUUGAAAUGCAACAGUGUGGGGGCCAGGGAGUGGUGGUCCUGUGUGCCUUGCCCAUCCUUUAUGUGAGAUGCGAGAUGCUAUCCAACGGCUUAUGCUUAGUAGAAAAAUUAUGCUUAGUAGAAAAAUUCAUGGACUCAUCAAAGGGAAAAAAAUGUUUGGUAAUCAAGUUUUCCUUUUUGCUGAGGGCUGUGCUUACAUAGUUUAAAUUGUAAUAAAAAUUAAAAUGCCUGAAAUGUUUCAGAGUCGGAAUCCUCUGCUGCUUUAGCUCAUGGGCACCUCCCAGAAUGCUUCCUCAGAUAGCAACAGAAAACACUGGCAGCCCCCCAAGAGAACAUUCUUUGAGGACCUCACUGGCAAUUGGGAAAGGGAACUUCGCGUUCUCAUUGUGCAGAGUGCAGGCAGGAUGUGUGGUCUCCAUCCUGAGGUUGCUUGUUGUCUUCCCUGUACAGUGUAUAAUUUUAUUAUUUUUUUCAGAUGUUAUAGGUGAGGCGUCCAAAUAAACAGCUUUAUGGUCAGGAAAUACAGGGAAAUUGGUGUAUUGGGGAAAAUCACGUAUUACUAGAGAUACUUUAAUUAUCUUUGUGGAAUAUUAGUUUUCUAGUAGCCAAAAUUGUUAAAAUACCAAAUUUUGUUUGUUUUUGAAGAACCCAAGUUGCAAAAUUGCUAAAUAAUCUAAGACACCAAAUUUUUAAAACAAUACCCAAUGUAAUUAAACUUCCAUUUGAUUCUGAACAAUUGUCAGUGUCCCUGGGUCAUUAUCAAUAUUGUAUUAAUGUGGAAUUCUGGUCGUUGGGCCUUCCUGUUAAUAGAAUGCCAAGCAGGUUGAAUCAGGCGGACAUACCUAGUAUUGUGUGGCACACAGCAGGGGAGAAUGGGGAAGACAUGAAUUGAGCUCACACUGUGACUUUUGCUCAAGAGUGAUGUUUGAUCUGGAAGGAUUUACUCCUGGUUGGAGGCACAAAUUUCUAAGGAGAUAAUUUGAGCUUAAUAAGGUGUUCAGAGGGGUACUGCAGAUGCUAGGAGCAGAGAAGAGAGAGGAGUGUAACUGAAUUGUUGAGUUUUGAGCUAAAUAGUGACCAAUUUGUGUAGCAUUUGAAAAAGUUAGAAAAUGAAAGCAACAGCACAGGUCGAGGGUUAGAGGUGAGGAUGAAUAUUUCCUGUGUCGGGGAGGGUAAUGAUAGUCUGAGCUCACUGCAUUGAGUCAGUGUUAAAUAUUAAAGUUGACACUUGUUCCAAGCUCUCGGGCUUCCACUGUCUCCUACUAUUCAGCAAGGAAAUGAGAUGACGCGAAUGGGAGAUUAACCAUGGGAGGAAGAAUACCAAGUUCUGUUGUGUGUCGAGCAGUGGCCAGUUGAGAUUUUCGCAGCCCUGGGAGGCGAGGGCCUCCUCUGGGGCUGGAUCUUUGCCUGAUGUCACCUGGAAUUCUCACAGCUUGUUUUAACUGCCCACUUCCCCAGUGAAAGGCAGAUUUCUGGAACUGUUUUGUGGCACCCGGGGAGAAUUAACAUAGUUUCCUAAGAUGCCUGAGUAAUGACCUUCCUUCCUGUCCAAGCAGGCUGCUGUAAAAGGAUAUGCUUCCUUCCGAUGGUCUUGACCAACCUCACAUUCAAGGGCCUGUGUGUUGUUAGCUGUGUUACCUGGAGAAAGUGAGCUGUGACACCAGCCUUUGGUUGCUAACGUUUGGCCAUGAAUCCACCCCAAUGACUGUGAACUUCACAUAGUAACUGGCCACACUCUCCUCUCCCUUCCUCUCACACUUGCUGAGGCAUGAGUUCUGCAAAUAGUAUCUUUUGUGGACCUUAUUUUGCUUGAACAAAGGACUUGACUUUGUAUUCUUCCCCUCUGGUUACUUCCUUAUUUUACGUGAGCCGUAUUGUAAGGCUUAGUUUCUAUACUGAGACGAUGAGUCUACAGACCAUUUAAAAAAUUCCGUAAAUGUUAUUUUAUCUACUUUUUGAAUCCUCAGGUAAUUGAAACCAAAACAGUGCUGAUGGUUCUCAAAGAAAUUGAAGUGCAAUUUUGAAAAUUUAGUGAUAUAAUCUCCAGUUGCCAUACAUGGAGCUGGAUCCCAAAGAAAGAAGAAAACAGUUCUACAAGCAGAGGGGACAACCGUCAUUCUCCAAGGGGCAGGAUCUGAAUCUUCGAGAGGCUAUGAGGGAGUCAGGCACAUCAUAGCCUUCUUGUGCUUAGGAGCACUAUACAGCACUUGAGCACAUUGCUUGGGGGCCCUUUCAGACAAAAAAAUUGCCAACAAAAAGCACAAAAUUGUGAAAAACAUGGCACUAAACAGACCAUGAAAAGGACACUUGUUUAGGAUGUGAGAGCUGAAACAAGAAGGCAGAGCAGAGCCCUGUUUGACCUCAGCUGGGAUCGUGUGCAUCAGUGGCUCAGCUUUUUUGCAUCUCUGCAUGUCUGCCAAAGUGUUGCUACCAUCGAUUUUGCAGUUACAAAUAAAUUUUGGUAAGUAGGUGAAUUUGCAGACAGUCAGGAUUGACUGUAUAUGCCAAUAUUUCUCUCUGGACCUGAGGUCUAGGUUGAUACCACCACUCUGUGUCUGACCUUCAUUUAGUUGUUUCUCUAUUCUGGGCCUCUGUUUUCUCAUUCAUAGAACAAGCAUGUUGGGGUAGAUUGGUGGCAAUAGUUUCUUUUUUUAUGUAAGAAGUAACUUUUAUUCAUGUAAAAGCCCAGGGUAUAAAGCAGUAGUCAGCUCCCUGCAUCUCUUGUCCUCCACCAAUUUUACCAAAAACGUAUGGAAAACCACUGGGCUAGAUCUCCGAGGCCAUUUUCCUCUGUCCCAUUAGGUUAUAAUUUAUUCAUUUGAGAAAUAUUUAUUGAGC